GUGGCCGGUCACACACUCGCUCUGCGGACCAGCUACAGCUCUGUCAGUCUCCGAGUGGAUUAUUACUGUCACUGCAGCAAGCAGCGAUCCAAAAGGAUCUAUAUUUUGUCUGUCAGACUGACAACUGCACUUAAUCACAGUAUGAAGCAUAGAUGGCUGCUUCUGUCUCUGCCUCACCUGCCCACCAUCACUGAGACCCUGGAAGACUCUGAUACCCUGGGGGCCACGGGCCACCUAGCCCAUCCUGCCCAGUCUGUUUCCCAGUCUCCAUCCCAGUGCUCCCAGUCUCUGGAGGAGUAUAUGACCAGUAUCCAGGUGCUGGCCAGACCAGUGGUGCACCCUAGCUGUGGCCCUGUGAGGCUCCAGAGGACGGGCAGGCCUCAGCUGUUCUCCAAGUCUCAGAUGAAGCACUCUGUCUCAGCUUUGCUGCCCCGCGGUUCCCCCCGGGCCAUCCGGACUAGCACCACCACAGGUCAAGCCCGAGAGCAGCUGCCAGGCAGGCUGGGGAUGGAGAGGGAAUGUGGGGGGAAAGAUCCCAUGGAAUGGCUUUAUGGACAAACACACACAUAAACCUAGACAAGGACAAAGCAGGACACAAAUGAGGACAUACUAGUUUAGGGGAGAAUGCUCAAGCAGCUCUGUGGGUGCUCAAACCUGGAAUAUUAAAUAUCAGGGAAUACUCUAACUGGCUGUAACCAAUGAUGUGCGGUGCUGUCCCCAAAUGGCCCACUGAUGGGUUCUGGAGCUGGACUGGACUGGACUAGAUGUUGUUUCACUGAAUUGUGACACUAUGCUGGAUAUAAUGCAGGGACUCUGUAAACAUUAAUCCAGUAAAACCAACCUGUGGAGUUUAAUUUAAGAGGUUAUUCUAUUUUGUAAUAAAAUACUCUUGUAACAAUAUUUCUUGUAUUCACCGUAUUUACGUUUGCAUAGCUAAUGUUUUAGGAACUUUAAAGAUUCCAAACUGAAUGUCUAAAUGUCUAAAUGUGAUACCAGUGCUUGAUUUGGGCCAGAACACAUCACUUGGCACCUAAUAAUAAUAAUAAACAGUACCGGCACCCAAAAUGAGUAACUGCAUUUUCAUUCCACUUCAAGCACUGUCUGAUACAAAUGUUACUUCUGAGAUUGUGUCCUUG
ensembl:lncRNA